AAAAAGAUCAACUUUUCCCCACUAUGCAAAUCACCAGCGGUGUCCGGUGGACGAUGAUAUCGAGUGGUUCCCAUGACGAAUUUGACGCUAUGCGACCAAAGGCAGGAGACUUUCUUCAGCAAAAAUGGCUGACAAAAAUACUGGGAUGGAAGCAAAUGGACUCCUGAAACAACCAGCAAACCAGGCUGCCGUCUUGUGGAACAGAAUCUAGCUAGCUAAAGUAUUUACUGCAAAUUGAAUGUUCAAAUUUGAUCUCGACUUGCUCAUUCAUCUUCUGCACAUCUAUCACUCCAGUGUUUAAUUGUAAUUAUUUCACCACUAUGGCCUAUUUAUUGCCUUACCUCCCUAAUCUUACUACAUUUGCACACUGUAUAUCAUUUUUGUAUUGUGUUAUUGACUGUACAUUUGUUUAUCCCAUGUGUAACUCUGUGUUGUUUGUGUCGCACUGCUUUGCUUUAUCUUGGCCAGGUCGCAGUUGUAAAUGAGAACUUGUUCUCAACUGGCCUACCUGGUUUAAUAAAGGUGAAAAAAUAUAUAUAUAUAUUGUAGCCUGUACAUUUAAUAUAUUC
rnacentral:lncRNA from 1 species